rnacentral:rRNA from 1 species
GAUGAACGCUGGCGGCGUGCCUAAUACAUGCAAGUCGAGCGAACAGACGAGGAGCUUGCUCCUUUGACGUUAGCGGCGGACGGGUGAGUAACACGUGGGUAACCUACCUAUAAGACUGGGAUAACUUCGGGAAACCGGAGCUAAUACCGGAUAAUAUUUCGAACCGCAUGGUUCGAUAGUGAAAGAUGGCGCUGCUAUCACUUAUAGAUGGAUCUGCGCCGUAUUAGCUAGUUGGUAAGGUAACGGCUUACCAAGGCAACGAUACGUAGCCGACCUGAGGGGGUGAUCGGCCACACUGGAACUGAGACACGGUCCAGACUCCUACGGGAGGCAGCAGUAGGGAAUCUUCCGCAAUGGGCGAGAGCCUGACGGAGCAACGCCGCGUGAGUGAUGAAGGUCUUCGGAUCGUAAAACUCUGUUAUUAGGGAAGAACAAACGUGUAAGUAACUGUGCACGUCUUGACGGUACCUAAUCAAAAAGCCACGGCUAACUACGUG